AUUCUGGUGGCCUAGUGGUUAGAGCAUCUGCAUAAGAUGCAGGAGGUUGCAUGUUCAAACCCUGGUCAAGCCAAACUA